CGAACGGUGAAGCCCAGCUUGCUGGGUGGAUCAGUGGCGAACGGGUGAGUAACACGUGAGCAACCUGCCCCGGACUCUGGGAUAAGCGCUGGAAACGGCGUCUAAUACUGGAUACGAGACGCAACCGCAUGGUUAGUGUCUGGAAAGAUUUUUCGGUCUGGGAUGGGCUCGCGGCCUAUCAGCUUGUUGGUGAGGUAAUGGCUCACCAAGGCGUCGACGGGUAGCCGGCCUGAGAGGGUGACCGGCCACACUGGGACUGAGACACGGCCCAGACUCCUACGGGAGGCAGCAGUGGGGAAUAUUGCACAAUGGGCGGAAGCCUGAUGCAGCAACGCCGCGUGAGGGAUGACGGCCUUCGGGUUGUAAACCUCUUUUAGCAAGGAAGAAGCGAAAGUGACGGUACUUGCAGAAAAAGCGCCGGCUAACUACGUGCCAGCAGCCGCGGUAAUACGUAGGGCGCAAGCGUUAUCCGGAAUUAUUGGGCGUAAAGAGCUCGUAGGCGGUCUGUCGCGUCUGCUGUGAAAACCCGAGGCUCAACCUCGGGCCUGCAGUGGGUACGGGCAGACUAGAGUGCGGUAGGGGAGAUUGGAAUUCCUGGUGUAGCGGUGGAAUGCGCAGAUAUCAGGAGGAACACCGAUGGCGAAGGCAGAUCUCUGGGCCGUAACUGACGCUGAGGAGCGAAAGGGUGGGGAGCAAACAGGCUUAGAUACCCUGGUAGUCCACCCCGUAAACGUUGGGAACUAGUUGUGGGGUCCUUUCCACGGAUUCCGUGACGCAGCUAACGCAUUAAGUUCCCCGCCUGGGGAGUACGGCCGCAAGGCUAAAACUCAAAGGAAUUGACGGGGACCCC
rnacentral:rRNA from 1 species